rnacentral:snoRNA from 1 species
GUGCCAUUCAAGUCCAGGUGCUGUGCUUCGUGCCAUGCAGCUGUAGUUGAAAAACACUUGGCCAGAUUACAGCCAGGGUACGAGCCCCAUCGCCUACCUGUGGUGUUUGGGGUCCCUAAGAAUGGCUACACAU